GUUACUACAGAGAAAGUGAGUUACUAGAGAGAUACAAUGAGCGUUACUAAAGAGAGAGAGACAGUGAGAGUUACUAAAGAGAGAGAAAGUGAGUUACUAAAGAGAGAGAGGUUAGUUACUAUAUAGAGACAGUGAGAGUAACUAAAGAGAGUGAAAGUUAGAGUUACUAUAGAGAGAGAAAGUGAGUUACUAAAGAGAGAGAGACAAGUGAGAGUGACUAUAGAGAGUUCAGCGGAGGAGAAGCAGAGCUGGAACCAGCGCCAAGGGACAUAAGCACUGGAAUCAGGUAAGUAUUGAAGGGGGUUACCUUGUACCCUGCCAGCUACCUGCUCUCUGUGACUGCCAGCCCCGCACCCAGCAGGUUACCAUAUACCCUGCCAGCUACCUGCUGUCUGUGACUGCCAGCCCUGCACCCAGCAGGUUACCAUAUACCCUGC